rnacentral:sRNA from 2 species
AUAAAAAAACUGCCUAAUUCCCUAUUGGGAUACGGGGGAACCACUUUGGGUGAAUUGAUUCCGACGUUUGAGUUUUCUUCAAACGCCCGAGGAAUCAUAGGGAGCCUUCAACCGAACCCCACAGCUAACCUCGUCGGCAUUGGAAGGAGUUUCA